ACUCCUGCGGGAGGCAGCAGUGGGGAAUAUUGGACAAUGGGCGCAAGCCUGAUCCAGCCAUGCCGCGUGAGUGAUGAAGGCCCUAGGGUUGUAAAGCUCUUUCACCGGUGAAGAUAAUGACGGUAACCGGAGAAGAAGCCCCGGCUAACUUCGUGCCAGCAGCCGCGGUAAUACGAAGGGGGCUAGCGUUGUUCGGAUUUACUGGGCGUAAAGCGCACGUAGGCGGACUAUUAAGUCAGGGGUGAAAUCCCGGGGCUCAACCCCGGAACUGCCUUUGAUACUGGUAGUCUUGAGUUCGAGAGAGGUGAGUGGAAUUCCGAGUGUAGAGGUGAAAUUCGUAGAUAUUCGGAGGAACACCAGUGGCGAAGGCGGCUCACUGGCUCGAUACUGACGCUGAGGUGCGAAAGCGUGGGGAGCAAACAGGAUUAGAUACCCCAGCAGUCCCAUGA
rnacentral:rRNA from 1 species